rnacentral:tRNA from 1 species
GCGGAAGUAGCUCAGUUGGUAGAGCACAACCUUGCCAAGGUUGGGGUCGCGGGUUCGAAUCCCGUAGCGAUCUUCGACA